GUCAAGGCCGAGUGGGGCCAGCAGAUUCGAAACUAUGUAUUCCAUCCAUACAAACUCGUGAAGGAUGUGAGGACUGGAUACGAGACAUCGGAUAUCUCAUCUGUAAUGGACGGUGAGUUAGAUCCGUUCAUUAAAACAUACCUCAAAUACAAGUACAGUAUGUCACAGUCAGCUAUUGAAGCUGUUCAGUAGGCUGUUUUCACUAUGCCGCUCGAGUUGGCCAGUAGGGCGUGUACCAUUAUAUUUGUUGAAAAUGUAACGUAGCGAAUGAAGUUGGUCCAUAGGGUAUUCUUGAUAUGCGCUCCAUUUUUUCAAGAGGAGGGAUUUGUGUCAUGGAACUUUCCCCGCUAAGAAUGUAUAUAAUUUACAUCGGUCGAUACCUUCAUAGGAUCCUUGAACUUUCUUAUUUUGAUAAUUCAACCCCAACGAGGACCCAAUAUGAUCUAACCCAGCCAGUAAGGCACAAGCAGAGCACAAGCUUGAGUUCACAUUAGCCGCCUCACUAGCAUUUUCAAGCAUUGUUGCAUCAAAUUUUGUCUCUUAGCAUGUAUUUAGAGCACCAACUUCCCUUGAGCCUGACGGCUUUGAGAGCUCUCUCUCAAAGUUCAGGUAUGCGGGUUGAAGUGGUGGAGAGAGCGUUCAUCGACAGUAGUUUCACUUUAGUCACCUUACCUGUCGAAGAGCCAGACCAUCUAAGCCCUGAGAGAAAGGGGAAAAAGAUAACACGGAACCAUGUUCGAACAAUUGUCGAAAUUUGUCGUGUGACAUGUGAGAUUAAUCCUUGAAACGGUCGGCUCCGAGGCCAUCGAGGUGGACACCAAGAAAAUCAUGUUAAUAGAGUUUGCAUUGAAAUUGACUUAUUACAAAUUGGUCAGAAUGAUUAUUCUUUUUCAGGUGCCUGCUUUCAUAGUCAGCUCAUACAAGCAUCCAGCGGGCAUCUCUUGCCCCCUAGGGAGGAGAAUGCAGAAGCUCUUCCAGCUGUAAUACGUGAAUAUAAAAUUACUCGAAAUGUGUACAAUACAGUGACAAAUUAACUGUGCCAGUUGAUGGUUUCAUGCUGCCUUUCCUUUCCCAAAAAUCAAGCCCAAAGAAUAGGUGUUGCCUUUUCGAGCAGCCGCUUCGACUCGAUUCCCACCAAUCUAGAAAUCAAUGUCACCAAAAAAACCCAAAUGAAUUCAAGCCAUUGGAGUGACCAAAAAUACAAGGACAGAUCAGAAUUUUGUCUUUUUGGCUAGUAAAACGGUAUCUGGGAGAAUAUAGCAUUUCAAAGCACCAAGCAAAUACCAAACUUCAUUUCUAGAACUGAAUGUGACAAUUCCUGUAUCAGGCAUGCAUAGGAAGUACCUUGUCCAUGAGAAAAUAGCCCAUCGUUGGCAUGUACUGCACCAAAUACAUCACAGCAAGUACAGGCUGCAAAAAAGCCACUUACUCCAUUAGAUGUACAUGCAUUUAAGUUGAGAAUGAGAACAAAGAGGCCUUGCGUCAUAUGCUUCUACUGGAUGACAUAUUCAGCAUGGAACUAUCCGCAUGCACAUAUGUACCCUUCAAAAGAGCACCGAUAGAUUUUAACCAAAGUUUGUUAAACUAUAAGCUACCCGCAGUUCAUCACUAAGCUCCUUCCUGUUUUGAGAGUACAUCACAUCAAGAAUUCUUAGCUCCUUCCUGUUUUAAGAGCACCACAUCAAACUAACAAUUCUGAUCCAUUUCAUUAAGAGUCUUCAAAAGCACUCCCUCUAGUGAUCUGACUUGGCCAUUAGUACACAUGUUGGCCCCAAGGAGAAGUUAUCUGCUAUGGAAAAUAUACUUUUCAUCUUAAAUUGUCUGUUAGAUCACAGAACCUGCUCUUUUAGAGGCGUGCUCCUACUAUUGAAGAGCACCUGUCUAAUGAAACUGUCAAAUUGAAUAUGCAUUGCCUUACAACACUCUAAAGUGUUGUCACUUAAGAGCAACUAUUUUUUUAUGAUAAUAUCCAGAAAUUUGUUGAUAACUUGGAUUUAUCAAACGUCAAGUUGAAAAAAGUGUCUUCCUCACAAGAAGAAAAGAGAGAAGCAAGCUGGAAGCUGACAUUUUAUAGGACUUCACUCCUUCAAAGCAUAAAUUUUUUUAAGUAACAUCAGUGGGACGUUUUCCAGUUCUAAGACAAAUCAUAGAUGUCAUUAAUUUGACGUGCAUUCUGCCAGGAAAUUUUUCCAACUCCUGAAAUAGGUUAGAGCAUGAUCUUGAAAGUCAAGAGAACUUACAAAACAAACAAGACAUAUUACAAAAAGUGGAGGUUAGUCCAAAUAAUGUAAUGAUGAAGCUGGCAAAAUAUUCUAAGUUCAAAAAAGUAAAAAAGGCAACACCAACCUGAUAUGAUAUCCAAGCUUCCUUUAAGCCAUGAGAGGCUGCAAUUAUUGUCAAUUCAGCACAUCUUUCGGAUGACACACGCUUCUGUAAGUACGAAGAGGUAGAGGUAAGACAGAAAACAUAUUAUCCCAAGAAGCCACAAACAUGACAAAAGAAAGAAUAUGUCAUAGUGGGUUGAUAUUAACAAUUAUUAGGUGUUGACUGACUGAUGAAAUUUGUAGCAUCACUGACUGGCAGAUUCUCUUUUGGCCUCUUCGAAGAGUGCAGAGAACCACUAGUUUUGCUACUGACAAGGAGGUUUAUGCAUAGCAAUAUAGAAAAUAACAAGGGAUCUGGAAGUAAUCAAUUAAGGAAAAUUUCCUAAGUUAAGGUUCUGGUUUUUGGAGUCAUUAAUUUCUUUUCCCUGUUCUCCUGGCCAUCAACAUCUCUGAAGAGCUGCUCACAGUAUCACAAGAAAACUUUCGGUUCUGCCAGCAAUGUAAUCAUCAUGUUCGGGUGGAUUAUGCAAUGAAUGCUAAUUGAGUCCUUUGAUCUAGCUUUUUCUACUUCUUUGCAAAAAUAUGACCUCUGCAUGGAAGUGUCUUUUUUUCUAUGGAUGACAGAGAACUUUCAACUGCACCCAAGCGAAGCAGCUGCCCUGCCUUGAUAGCUUGGCAAUAAGAGUAACACAUGUUGCAUGUAAAUCAGCCUCUAGUUGAUGACUUGUAAGUUCAUCACACACUGGAAUCGGGAGAGAAGUAAGGUCUAAAUCAUGAGUGAUUUGCUAUUAGAAAUAGUUGCAGUUGACUAACGAAAGCAAGUAAACACUUGGCAUCUUCUUUGGCCAAGAAUUUUGAGAGCUGUAUCAACAGCUAGCAUUCUUAUUCUGAGGGAAAAAUCUAAGAACAGUGCCAAAUCACCUCUGAGGAGCUUCUCUUUGUUGAUGCUGUCGCUCCAGAUCCAUUUGAUGUCUUUAUUGGCCCAGGACAAACAACAGUCACCUUGAUUCCCUUCUGGAAGAGCUGCAAGCAGGGAAAGAAAUAGGCUUCUUUUGAAAGAAUUACAACUGAAGGAAGAGACAAGCAACAUGUCCAGAAGAUGCACUUAUGGAGAAAAUCAAUGCAUGAGAAUCCUAAACUUAUAGAGGUAUCAAACAUCAAAGCACUACUCUCAUUUUUUCAAAAGAAACAAUAUCAGAGCCCCGUUGUGCCUCACAUAGUUGCAAGCAGGGACCUUUUAGGAUUUAUUAGACAUGCAUAAGACCAGGACACUUGUUCAUCUUAAAAACAUCAAAGACUUCUCUGAUUUCAACAGCUGCAAUCUACUUCAUCAUCAAAAGCUUUCCAUAACUAGAUAUUUGUCUUCCCAAACCUUCUCAGAUGCAACCCUAAAAACAGGCACAUUCUCUUCUGCCACAAGUUUUCUCGUAAGGCUCUUUUCUCGUGUUAUUCCAGAUAGGCGCUGUUCAGGCUAAAGCAUAAGAUUCUCUCAUCUGUCCUCACUACCGAGUAUCACUGGCAAGUUCAAAGGAUCCAAAUCCAGUUAUCCAGUUAAAAGGAGCUUAUAGAUAUCCUUAUGAUGGGACAAGACCAGAUGUUAAGAUAUUUUAACAUCAAAGGAAGUGGUAAUACAGACAAUUGUGAAGUAGUCCCAGUUGACUAAGGAUUUAUGGUCAUAGCCAGGGAAGUGGUUGACAGAGAUUUGCAACUGUGAGGCACCCUUUAUCCAGAAAGAUGCUUGAAAGAUACCACGAUAGAUAAUCUCUUUGUUCCAAGUUUACAUGGUAGAUGCCUUCCCUGGUAAUUCACUUACUGAUCAACGUAGCAUCGACAAACUUAUCUAGGUUACUCUUGUGAAGUUAUCUCUAUUUACAGCUUGAUAAUUCAAGCGCACAAUUCUCAUAAUCAAUCAUUUCACAUAAUUAAUUCCUGUAUUCCAAAGCUGCUGCCACAGCCAUUCUUUAGUUGAUCAAAGUGACGCAUUAUUCCUUCUCACAGGCUAGUCACAUGAUUCCUGUUCGCUGGCUAUCUCAGUGAUAGCUCUUCCUCCAACCUUUUUAGUGAGAAAAUAAAGAAACUACCAAACUGACCAUCACAAAUAUACCCUUGAGAACAGAACAGCCUGUAUACCUCAGAACGCAAGGUAUGGAAGUAGCCAUUUAGAGCAAACUUGGAUGCAGAAUACACAGCUUUACCAGGUGCAGGUGCUUUCCCAGCCGCACUGCUUAUCUGCGAUGAUGCAAAAACAGAAGCUUUCUGACCAAACCAUGAUUAACAAACUGGUUAUCGACGAAGGGAAGAAAAAUGGAUUCAGUAUUCAACUAGAGGCAUUAUAACAGUGGAAACACAGCAAAACUAGCAUAUUAAAGUUCCACAUCUACUUUUAAUCUGUAAAUCCAAGGGCCAACAAGAAUAUGGCAACAAAAAAAGUGCCUCUUUCUCAUAUCUGAUGGAGGCUCUGGAAAAUUUAGAGACUACAAAUCAAGAAUUACCCAAAUCUCAACAUAAAAGUUUCAAAUUUUACCAAAAAAAAAAAAAAAACAUAGAAGUUUCAAAUCUCCAAACAUAUUCCCUACUAAGGACAGUAAAUAACCAAAUAAUCAUUAGCACGUACCACAACAAAAUGACCCCUACCACGUCUGAGCAUGAAGGGUGCCAAAAGCCGAGUCAAAGAUAUAGUCCCAAAGACAUUAACAUCGAACGUUGCCUAGUUGCAUAAAAAAGGAAUAUAGUUGGUAAGUUAAGAUAGUUAACUUGCUAAUCUAAUCGUAACAAAAGGACCGUCAGUGCAUAAUACGAGAGUAAAAAGAGCUGUCUAUGAGAUUGAAAUCUGUAAUUGUCUUGGAAAUUCGGCCAAACUGUCCAUGUCAGAGCUGCUGCAAGAUUCUUACAUACCUUAAGGCUUUCUUCCGUCACAUCCAGAGCUGAUGUUAUCUGCCACAAUCAAAGAGAUUGAUUAUGAAGGCCCAUCUACUCAUGGUAUACAUUCACCCUCUCUUAUGACACAAAUGGUUUCAGGGAUAUAAGACUAUCAAACCAGAUGAUAGGAUGGGUGCAGACCAAGCUAGCGUCCUUGUGUAUCCCAUUCUAGUUCAAAACAGAGACCACCAAAGAAAAACCCAGUGCAUCGAACUAGAGAUGUAGAAAGUUUCCCCCACACGGCACUGAGAAAAGAAAGUUUAUAGCCUUUUCUAUCCAAUAAUUGGAGGAAGAAUGGUAUUAACCAUUUCUUGUAUAUUCAAACAGCUUAAAGCAAGAGCUAAUUUUGUUAGUAAACUUUUUCUUACCUUUCCCGUUGGGUUCUUUUCAAUGAGCUUCUUUGUCUUAUGAUAUAAAUUUGAAUUGCCACGCGUUGUGAUAAUGGACCUGUUCAAUCGUUGCAGUGAUUAUAUUCUGUCAUUUGACCUCAUCUUCCAAAACUUUUGUUUUCCAGCUAAAUAACUUUACUGUACCUCCAGGCAUCACACUCAACCUUUUAAAAGCAUAUUUUUACCAUGCUGGUUUGCGUAAACAUCCACCAAAUGCAAAGGACCGACUUCUUAAUUCUGCUAAUUCCAGCAUCCUCAUUGCGCGAGUGCAAUGUGCAUUUUCCAUUAGUAUUCCAUUCGAAAAGGGCUCUCAACUUACAGGGCGCUCAGAGGCCGCAUUGUGAAUCAUAAUGUCGACACCAGAGCCACCGAAGAAAGAUUCAGCCUUCUCCAUGGCCUGCCGGAGAGAAUCUUCCCCGGAUGCCAAAUCGAGCAGCAAGAUUUGAACUCCAUCAGGCGCGUGUUUACCUGCCAACAAUGCCACGAGUAGUGUCGAGUCACAGGCAUGCCAAUCAUCGGCAACUCAGCACCAGGAUAAAACUGAAAAUGACAUUACCGGUGAGCUGAGCCUUGACGCGCUCCAAUUCAGCUUCGUUCCGAGCGGAGAGUAUGAGCUUCGCCCCAAGAUUUGCAAGCUGCUUUGCAAGAAUUUCCCCUUUGAGAAUCCAGCACAAGGAGAAGUUAACCGAUAAGGUUAAGAGCUAAACGAAGCAACAGGGAAGACAUGGAUGCUAGGGGUGUACAAAAGAACCAGAACCCACCCGAACCGUCCAGAACCGGACCAGAACAGCCCGGAAUUGAUGGUUCUUGAGGGAACCGGUGGGUGCCAGUCCGGUUUCCAGUUCCAUGGGCGGAUCAGACCGAUUAUAUUAUAAUAAUAUAUUAAUUUUUAAUAUUAAAAUAAAUUUCGAAAUUACUAAUUAUGGCAUGUUUGUUUGUGUUCUUUUUUUAUUGCCAUGAACACAAUUUCUGUUCUUUUGUUUCGGGGGCCAAAAAAAGAAGAGAAACGCGUUUAAGUUAUUGUUCUCAAGGCUUAUUUUUGUUCUAGGGAACAAAUUUGGAAUAGAAACAAGAAACAAGAAAAACUUAUUUCUUGUUCUCGGAACACUUUUUUAAGAAACAAAAGAACAAAAACACAAAACUUAUUUCUCUUUUUUUCCUUUUUCUUUUUUCUUUGGCUAGUCACUAGCCUCGACCAUGGCCGGUGAUCGGCUGUCGAGGGUCGACAACCUCGUUAAAGCGUUGCUAGCCCUUGGCAAGGCCAAGCUCGCCCAGCCACCGGCGAGGCUCGACCUCGCUAGGCCACCGCCAAGUCGGUGUCGCCCAACGGUGGCUCGGCGAGGCCAACCUCGCGUCGGCCGAUGAGGCUGAGCCUUGCCGAGCCACCUCUAGGAUGGCGUCGCCUCGCAGUGGCCAGGCGGGGUUAGCCUCGCUCAGCCCAGGCGAGGCCGAGCCUCGCACGGCCAAGGCUCGGCCUCCCCAACCGGCGCAAGGCCGGGCCUCGCUAGGCCAAGGUGAGGCUGAUCUCGUGCCAGCUAGGCGAGGCCGAGCCUCGCCGGGGCCAGGCUGACCUCCAGCGAGCUUGCCGGUGCCUUACUAGGCCAAGGCGAGGCCCGGCGGGCUUGUUGGACAUCGCCCAGCCGGUCGCCAGCCAAAGAGAAAAAGAAAAAUAAAAGAAAAAAUUUAAAUUUAAAUUUAAAUUUAAAUAUUAAAAUAUUAAAAGAAAGAAAAAAUUAUACAUGUUUACCAAAUAUGUUUCUAUUCUUUUUUUAUUUAUUUCAGGAACAUAAAUUUUGUACAGUUACCAAACACGUUCUUCUGUUAAAAAAUUGUUCUCCGAAACAAAAAUAAUUUUUUCCAAUUUUUGUUCUCUAGAACAAUUUUUAAACAAAAAGAGUUCCAUCUCCUCUCACGAUUUCCAUGUUCUUAUAAGAAUUUAAUAAAGUGUGUAAGCUGCCUUUUAGCAACUCAACAAAUGGCUUCUUCAAAAGAUACUUCCAGAACUCACAUAAGAUAUCGUGUUCAAGAAUAUGUGGAGUAUCGGUGAAAUUGUCUCUACAAAAAGAAUUCAGUAAAGCAAAAGUUGUAAGAAAUUGAACACUCUUAGGAGAUAAAGGAAAAGACGAUCUACAUAUGACAAUUAUCCAGAACCUUGAAUUUAAAAAAUAUUUUAGAUUUUAACUGAAAUGAUUUAAAAACAGGAAAAAAAUCUAUUUCCCUUCUUUAGUAGUGUUUUCCAAUAAAUAAAAAAAUAAUACCCUUGAUUAAGCCGGUUUGAUUUAAAAAGCAAUAUUACUCGAUAUAUGAAGAGUAUUCAUGACAGAAUUUGGAAAACGAUAUUAUUAUUGGUGAGACUAAUUCCAUGAAUCCAUUCGGGAACCGGAUAGGAUCAGUGAUCCAGUUCUCGGGUGUAGUCGGGUGGUUUCCAAUUCCAAUUUUUUGGAACCGGUCCUUAGCGGGUGGUUCCAAUUCUAUGCCAAGAACUAUCCAUUCAGACCAUGCACACUCCUAAUGGAUGCAACAAGAGAUGAAACCAUACCAAUUCCGCGGCUGGCACCGGUGAUCCAGACAACCUGCACGCACGAACAGAAGACCAACCUCAACGGAUUAAGACAAGCCAAGCCAAGCCAAGCCCACCCAACCCAACUCAACCCAACCCAACCCAAGAAGGGAAAAGAGCAGCGACAAGAUGACGAAGGAUCGUGGGUUGCUCACCUUAUCUUCAAUCUCGUCGCGCUUCACGUGCUUCCUCGACAUCAACGUGAAGUCUCCUGGCCAAGGACAUAGAAAGAAAGGAAAGAAAGAUGAGAUUAGAGGAGGAGCUCAGGAGCCGAGCAGGAGGGAGAAAGGGGGGACGGCGGCGGCGGAUGAAAGAGGGACGACCAUCGGCGGUGACGAAUUUGAGGAGCAGAGCGGAGAUGCUGAGGAGGAGCAACAGGAGCGGGAGUAGCAGCAUCGUCGUCGGUCGUCUUCUCGUCUUCGGUCUUGCGCUGCAACUCUCUCUCUCGCGCACUCGCGGUUAGAAUAGAACCUCGACCGACCACCCUUGUCGUUUAGUUUGUGCAGAGUUCGUAGCAGCAUCGAUAGCGUCUAUGUUGAAUAGGGGGAAGAUUUCGAAAUUAACGUAUAGAGUGGGGUCACUCCGGCGGAGAUUCCAAUUUUUUCAAAUAAGAGCGUGAAAUUAGGGAUAAUUAGUUUUCCAUCUGCUCCAAUUUUAAGGUGGAACUGAAAAUUUUAUCAACUUCGGUCUACUGAAACUUGUUACUUUUUUUUUCCUAAGAGUGUUCGUGUACAAUGAAGUGAAAAUGAGUGUUUGGUAACGUUUUUGUUCCCACAAACAAGGUUCGUUAAAAAACAUUUCUUUCUAUUUCUAUUAUUUGAACAAUUUUUGAGCUUUUUAAGGCAUUUGGUAAUUUUACAAUUUAUAUUUUCGGAACAAAAAUACAUUUGGUGCGAUCCUAAAUUUUUUUAUAACUUAAAAUUUAUUUUAAUUUAUUAAUAAUUUUAUUUCUUUUUUCUUUCAAGGACUAUGAAUUGAUUCUCUCUAGAACUUCGAAAUCUAAGAUUAUGUUCCAUUUAACUUCGUCUUGGAUAGUUCUUUAACUGUUACCUAAGGUGCAAGGGAGCUCUUGGAAAAUAAUUGUUUGAAUUCUCUCUCGAUGGUUCUCAAGAGUGGUCAGGCGAACUCUUCAGCCUUCAAAUUUUAUUAUCUCUCUCAGCUUGAUCUAUGCGUGAAAUUUUGUUCUCAAGAUCUAUGAAUAGCAAACUGAGAUUUCAUUGACUGCAAACGCGGAGGAGAGAUCCCAGCUAGCAAACAAGAUCAAAGCACUCAGUCGAUUGAAAGCGAAGCUACUUGUCAUAGCAGAAGAACAGAGAGCAUCCGAAAUCAAGCAGAUACGGGGAGAUGCUGUCAAGGCCAAGUGAGGCCAGCAAAUUCGUAACUAUGUAUUCCAUCCCUACAAACUCUUCAAGGAUGUGAGGACGGGAUACGAGACAUCGGAUAUCUCAUCUGUAAUGGACGGUGAGUUAGAUCUGUUCAUUAAAACAUACCUCAAAUACAAGUACAGUAUGUCACGGUCUGCUAUUGAAGCUGGUCAGUAGGCUGUCUACACUAUGCCGCUCGAGUUGGCCGAUAGGGUGUGUACCAUUAUAUUCGUUGAAAAUGUAACGUAGCGAAUGAAGUUGGUCCAUAGUGUGUUCUUGAUAUGUGGUCCAUAUUUUUUUAGAGGGAUUUGUCAUGGUACCUUCUCCACUAAGAAUGUAUAUAUUUUACAUCCGUCUAUACCUUUAUAGGAUCCUUGAACUUUCUUAUUUUGAUAAUUCAACCCCAAUGAGGACCAAAUAUGAUCUAACCCAGCCAGAAAGGCACAAGCAGGGCACAAGCUCGAGUUCACAUUAAACGCCUCACUAGCAUUUGCAAGCAUUGUUCAAUCAAAUUUUGGCUCUUACCAUGUAUUUAGAGCACCAACUUUCCUUGAGCUUGACGGCUUUGAGAGCUCUCUCUCAAAGUUCAGGUAUGUGGUGGUGAAGAGAACAUUCAUCGACAACAGUUUUACUUAGUCACCUUACCUGUCGAAGAACCAGACCAUCUAAGCCCCGAAAGAAAGGGGAAAAAGAUAACACGGAACCAUGUUCGAACAA
rnacentral:lncRNA from 1 species